rnacentral:rRNA from 1 species
GACGAACGCUGGCGGCGUGCUUAACACAUGCAAGUCGAACGGAAAGGCCCUGCUUUUGUGGGGUUCUCGAGUGGCGAACGGGUGAGUAACACGUGAGUAACCUGCCCCUGACUUUGGGAUAACUUCAGGAAACUGGGGCUAAUACCGGAUAGGAGCUCCUGCUGCAUGGUGGUGGUUGGAAAGUGUCGGCGGUUGUGGAUGGACUCGCGGCUUAUCAGCUUGUUGGUGGGGUAGUGGCUUACCAAGGCUUUGACGGGUAGCCGGCCUGAGAGGGUGACCGGGCACAUUGGGACUGAGGUACGGCCCAGACUCCUACGGGAGGCAGCAGUGGGGAAUAUUGCACAGUGGGCGGAAGCCUGAUGCGGCAACGCCGCGUGCGGGAUGACGGCUUUCGGGUUGUAAACCGCUUUCGCCUGUGACGAAGCGUGAGUGACGGUAAUGGGUAAAGAAGCACCGGCUAACUACGUG